rnacentral:siRNA from 1 species
UUGCCAAAGGAGAGUUGCCCUG